rnacentral:lncRNA from 1 species
GCGGAUAUGGAGCAGGGACUAGAGGUGAGGGGAGAGGCAGGGGCUUGAGUGGCAUUAGUGGUAGCGAUGGAUAAUAGAGGAGUGGGGAGGGGUUAGUGCGUUAGUGUAC